AACGAACGCUGGCGGCAUGCCUAACACAUGCAAGUCGAACGGAUGGCUUCGGCCAUGAGUGGCGCACGGGUGAGUAACGCGUGGGAACCUGCCUUUGAGUACGGAAUAACGCCGGGAAACUGGUGCUAAUACCGUAUACGUCCUUCGGGAGAAAGAUUUAUCGCCCAAAGAGGGGCCCGCGUCCGAUUAGGUAGUUGGUGGGGUAACGGCCUACCAAGCCAUCGAUCGGUAGCUGGUCUGAGAGGAUGAUCAGCCACACUGGGACUGAGACACGGCCCAGACUCCUACGGGAGGCAGCAGUGGGGAAUAUUGGACAAUGGGGGCAACCCUGAUCCAGCAAUGCCGCGUGAGUGAUGAAGGCCUUAGGGUUGUAAAGCUCUUUCGGCGGGGACGAUGAUGACGGUACCCGCAGAAGAAGCCCCGGCAAACUUCGUGCCAGCCGCCGCCGUAA
rnacentral:rRNA from 1 species